UUCUGUCUUUGUCCCCUCCCCUCCCCCACCAAUAAUCAGCAGCAGGGGCUCCGGUGAUUUAACUUGCCUCAAUCCCCUGGAUAACUCUGGAUGAAUGAAAGUUGACCAUGUAUCAAACAUUAACAAGCUGCAGGGCUGGGAGGGUGGAGGUAAGCAAUAGGCCCCGGGUUCAGCCUGGCCUCUUGGCCUCUUGCCCACAGUUCCUUCCCAUGACUCACCUUUCUGUUUAGGUUUGUGCCUCCCUGGCUGGCAAUCAAACACAGUACAGAUUUAGCCUGGGAAGCAAGGCUGUGUGUGAGGCUCUUCUCCACAACUCCUCUCCCCAAACAUGGGGUGCUGGAAACUGUCCACAAAUCAAUACAUCACUGUGAUAAGCUGUCAGGAGCUGGUGAAGUAAGAGUGUUCCAGCGAGCCCAGCUUCUCUCCAAGCAGGAAGGAGUGCCUCUUACAUUUUCACACUUUCCUUCAUCCUUAGGAUGAAAACCCAACAGGCCUGGUACAGAGGAGGGGGCACAAAUGUCUCUUAUGAUCUGCACAAGGGAGCUGCCAGCUGGAAGGGUGGUGCUUGACUGCCUCCAGACCCUCUCUGCCAGGCUUUCUCCUGGGUCAGGUCUGAAUGUCUGUACCCCAUCAACUGAGCAGUCAUGCUUGUCCUUCUUGGAGACAGGACCAGCCUGUUAUCAACCAAUUCCCACCACAUGGCCACAUUCUUACUGCCCAGUGUGAGGCCAGAUGGUGAGUUCAAAAUUAAAAACUUGGUGUGCCUGUUCCUUGGAGAUCACAUCAAGGGUCAUAGGGGAGGGGUUGGAUGACUGAAUGAGUCUGAGGAAGGCUACUUGGCCAGAAACAUGGAUACUACGCAUGGCAUGAGACAUUAGUGGUCAUUGGGCAGGUCAUAGCCCUGAGAUUUUGAGCUAUCCUAUUGAAGCAGCUGGCAUGAGCCUUAACUGGCUCUGAGGGGCUUGAAGAUGGAGACUGAUGGCCCCUCUUUCCUUUGGGGGUUUCACAAGGGUGAGAGGAAAGAUAAACAGAAGAGCUAGAAUUCAAAGUUGGGCCUUAAGAGCAGUGGGAAUGGGCAUGGGGGCCAAUUUCAUGGAGGGUCAGGGAAGAAUCUAGAGUUGUGGCCAGGAGGAGGCAUUUCAGAUACAUCAGAGGAGAGGGGGGGAAGGAAGGGAGCAUCAUCAGAACAAACACACAAGAGCUGAGCUGAGACCCAGGAGGUGUGUGUAUGUGUAUGUGUAUGUAUAUGUGUACGUGUAUGUGUAUGUGCACACGUGUCUGUCUGUCUGUCUCUGUU
rnacentral:lncRNA from 1 species